rnacentral:misc_RNA from 2 species
ACGAGUUAGGGUCUUCUAGGCCUGAUCUCCCAACCCUUUGUUUACUUGACCAUUGUUGCUUCGGCGAGCCCGUCCUCAUGGACCGCUGGGGGACCGUGCUAGGUCUCCUGGCCCGCGCUCGUCGGCAGCCAACCCUUUAAAUCCUUAACUAAACGUGUUUUAUAUCUGAGUACUAUAUUUAAUUAAAAGCA